CCAAGAACCACACAGAAAAGGGAGGCAAAGGGGCCUACAGGGCUAGUAGCUUAUACGUUGUUGAACGUCCUGCCUGGACCCGGAGCCGCCCCCAUCUAAACCCUCUGCGUACCUGUCCCUUCUUGCUUCCCCCGGCAUCUCGUCGGGGGGAGGUAACAACCAAAACUCUCUGUGAAUCAAACAGCCGUCAGAAUUAUAAAACAAACAAAAGUUAAAACUUUCAACAACGGAUCUCUUGGUUCCCACAUCGAUGAAGAACGCAGCGAAAUGCGAUAAGUAAUGUGAAUUGCAGAAUUCAGUGAAUCAUCGAAUCUUUGAACGCACAUUGCGCCCCCUGGUAUUCCGGGGGGCAUGCCUGUUCGAGCGUCAUAAAAACCUCCUCCCCCUUCGGGUUUUGUUACUAUCGUUGGGGGGUUUUGGCCUAAUGGGAUAGCGAUUGGCAAUUCGUUUCCCAAUGUCCUAAAUAGACGUAGACCCGCCUCCAGAUGCGACAGCACCGAGGCCAUCAACCGUGGAGUUAUGGGAUAUAAUAGGCUUGCAGUAAAAUGCUCACCUCUCUCCACACGCCGAUGGCACGACAGUUGCAGUUGCGGGCGUAAAUUGGAGCCCUUUUCAGGACCCUUGUGGCCUAGCAUCCACCAUACAUAAUUUGACCUCGGAUCAGGUAGGGAUACCCGCUGAACUUAAGCAUAUC
rnacentral:rRNA from 1 species